rnacentral:rRNA from 1 species
ACGGCUCAGUAACAUGAAGCCAAUCUACCCUAUGGACGGGAAUAACCUCGGGAAACUGAUAAUAAUGCCCGAUAGAACAUUAUGCCUGGAAUGGUUUAUGUUUCAAAUGAUUUAUCGCCAUAGGAUGGGACUGCGGCCUAUCAGUUUGUUGGUGAGGUAAUGGCCCACCAAGACUAUUACAGGUACGGGCUCUGAGAGGAGUGGCCCGGAGAUGGGUACUGAGACACGGACCCAGGCCCUAUGGGGCGCAGCAGGCGAGAAAACUUUGCAAUGUGCGAAAGCACGACAAGGUUAAUCCGAGUGAUUUCUGCUAAAGAAAUCUUUUGCUAUUCCUACAAACACUAGUGAGCAAAGGGUGGGCUGGUUAAGGUGUCAGCCCCCCCGGUCAAACAAUACCACUGCUUUGGUCUGGUUGGGACAAGGGCCAAGAUUAAACCUACCUUAUUUUGAUUGUUUACUCCCCUUUCAAAAGACUUAACUCAACAAAUGGCCCGCGGAUGAUACUACAUAACUUGGAGGCAGGAGAGGCAAGCGGUAAAUCAGUGCGGUAGGGGUAAAAUCCCUUGAUCCAUGGAAUAUCACCAAAUGCCGACCGCACGCUUGCCCAGAAUGCUCACAGACCGUGAGCGGAUGAAAGCUGGGGGGAGAACACAGGAUUAGAUACAUCGGCUAGUGGCAACCGUAAACUAUAUAGACACGAUAAUGGGUAACGAUUCACGAUAACCAGAUGCCUCAAGGCAUCCGUUAAGAUCUGCCACCUGAGCAGUAUACGUCGCGAGACUGAGACUUAAGUGAAUUAGCGGCUGAGCACA